GAUGCCGCGUGCUCCCGUCGAGCGCGCCCCCGUGAGCCGACUCUCUUCGGCCCCGCCGCGACGCGCGACACCGGCUGCUCAGCGAGGGACGGGCGCGCGCGCCCUGGACCCCUCCCCCACGGCCCUUGUCCGCGCGGGCGCAACAGCGGGGUGGGGGAGGGGAAGGGAGUCCAGGGGGCGCGCGAGCGACGUCCAAGCCGGCCCUCACCGGCGCCCGCGGGCGCGCACGCGCGUCCCGGCGCCGCCCGCCCCUCAGCACGAGACCCUCAUCCCGCCCGGGGAGCUGGGGGAGGGGAUGCCAACGUCGCUCCCCCGUUCCCUUUAGCGCGCGCAGAUGAUCGACCCGCAGCCGCCUCCCCUCCGGCGCCAUGGCCUGCCGCUCACCAUGUUUCCGGAAGAGAAAAGGAGAUAGCAAGGAGAGCCAGAAAAGACAAGAGCCGCUGCAGCUGCUGCCGGGAUCCGACUGAACGCGGCCUCUCCCGGCCCCUUCCGUUUAGUACGAGCCGCACAAUGAGGGGCGGGGCGGGCUUCCGGCGCUCCCCCCGCGGGCCGACGGGAAAUGAAGUCCGACGGUCCUGCGCCGUCUUCGGGCUCGCUGGGUAACAGAGUCUUUUUCACCUGACGGCCUCCCUGCUCCACGUUGCAUACUGGGAAAUGUAGUUCAAAACAGCCGAGAGAGGCGGGGCUAUGGCACGGAGAGCGCACCCGUUGGUCGAAUUUCCCAGGAAAUGCUCGGAGCUGAGCGAAGGCCUCGGCGUUGGGUAAUAUGACCUGAAAAUGAGCCCCGACUUCGCGCUCUCUACCUCGGAGGGAAACGGUUUUCCUAAGAUCCAUCUUGGCACUAUCUGGAUCCUUUGGUCUGAAAAUUUUCAGAAGAGAAGACAGGGUCGCAAACAAGAGAAUUGGGGGCGUUGAUCCCAUAUGCAGAAUAAAGGGUGUAAAUGAAGAGCCAGAAGGCUGGGCUUCAGGACCCGGGGAGCGACUCCCGAGAGUGGGGGGACAAGGGUUCGAGCCCUGGUCUGGGAAGAUCCCACGUGCCGCGGAGCAACUGGGCCCGUGAGCCACAACUACUGAGCCUGCGCGUCUGGAGCCUGUGCUCCGCAACAAGAGAGGCCGCGACAGUGAGAGCCCCGCGCACCGCGAUGAAGAGUGGCCCUCGCUCGCCGCAACUAGAGAAAGCCCUCGCACAGAAACGAAGACCCAACACAGACCCAAAAAUUAAUAAAUAAAUAAUUUUUAAAAAAAACAAAAACGAUGAAGUGUUUUCCCCUUGUCCGGGCUUCUUACUCCCAGGCUGCUACCC